GGCAGUAUGGCCGAGUGGUUAAGGCGUCAGACUCGAAUUAGUCGCAACCUGGUAUACCAAGCGCUCAUCUGAUGGGAUCUUCCCGCGGCGGUUCAAAUCCGUCUGCUGUCG